UCAUGACUAAAAUUCCCUGCCAGUCUUAUGCCUUAUCAGCGAAUAUGUGUAUAAUGUCUUUUCUGCAAAAAUCCUGUCUGUCAGAGGGAUAUACAUUGCUUAGUUUCAUAUUCAUUAACCUUGUGCCAUGAAUGCAAGUUCUUCAUUAAGAUCUGUUCCAUGGUAGAUAAGGGAAGUCGUGUUAUCUGCAAGAGAAGCAACUGAAAAUUGUUCAUUUCUGCAAGGUCACAAUUUACAAAGGUAAACCCCAGUUUCUGUGUUCCAACAAUCAAGAAUACAUAUAGUCCAUCCUCCCCACCCCAACCUACUUCCAAUAACUAACCAGCCAAUGGCAAGACUGGGAAGAGCAGCUCUUCGUGCUGCUACCAGGAUGAUUGACAUGGAUAUCCCAGAGGGUGUCUGAGUUAGACACAUGGGUCAUUGGAGUGAUGAGAAAGUAGACUGUAGAGUCACAAAGAUGCUGUUCCUACUCUACUAUGAGACCGUGACAAAACUCAGCUUUCCUGAGCCUUGGUUUCCUAGUUUUUAAAGGGAGAUGAUGAAACUCCACAAAGGUUUGAGUGAAAUGGAAUUUUUGAAUGAAAUUAGAUUUUUCAAAAAUGCAACUCAUCAUGCUUGCUGCCUGAAGCACCAAUGAUCUGCAGGACACCCAGCAGCUCCUGACACCACCUCACCUCUGCUGUCGACUGAAGCCUUCACCCCUGCAUAACACUGUUACAGGCUAACAACUGUGUUUGCAAGAAACUUCAUCCCAAGAGGUUCAUCUUCCACUAUAAAGUGCAGUAAACACCCUUUUUAAAGAUGCAAUGAAGGAUCUCAAGAAGAGUUCAUCCCUGGAAAGUGUGGGCCCUAAAUACAAUGACAAGUGACCUUAUAAAGCAAGAGGAAGGGAGAACACACGGAGGAGAAGGCCAUGGAGUUAUGUGGCCAUAAACCAAGGAACAAGCUCUUGGAGCCACCAGAAGUUGGACGAGGCGAGGAAGGAUUCUCCCCCAGAGCCUUCAGAGGGAGCCUGGCCCUGCUGACACCUUGACUUUGGACUUCUGGCUUCCAGA